GACGAACGCUGGCGGCGUGCUUAACACAUGCAAGUCGAACGGUAAGGCCCUUCGGGGUACACGAGUGGCGAACGGGUGAGUAACACGUGGGUGAUCUGCCCUGCACUUCGGGAUAAGCCUGGGAGACUGGGUCUAAUACCGGAUAGGACCACUGCCUGCAUGGGUGGUGGUGGAAAGCUUUUGCGGUGUGGGAUGGGCCCGCGGCCUAUCAGCUUGUUGGUGGGGUGAUGGCCUACCAAGGCGACGACGGGUAGCCGGCCUGAGAGGGUGACCGGCCACACUGGGACUGAGAGACGGCCCAGACUCCUACGGGAGGCAGCAGUGGGGAAUAUUGCACAAGGGGCGCAAGCCUGAUGCAGCGACGCCGCGUGAGGGAUGACGGCCUUCGGGUUGUAAACCUCUUUCAGCACCGACGAAGCGCAAGUGACGGUAGGUGCAGAAGAAGGACCGGCCAACUACGUGCCAGCCGCCGCCGUAA
rnacentral:rRNA from 1 species